GUAGGAUUAGAGCUCGACUAGACUGACAGCGCUCGCGUCUCAGCGCCAGAUAAACGACCAAAACAUAUUGCGUCAUCAUUCAGCGACACGAGACAGGACGAGAGAGUUCACGCACACCGCCGAGCUGUCACGAUUCACAGCAGUGCUGGCGGAAGUGACAUGAAGUUGAGAGUCUCACUAGAUAAUCUUCUGAAAGCUGAGUGUUUUGGCCGUUGGUGGAUUAUAGGAUCUUCCUGGAGUGGAGCACCAAUGAUCGAUGACCAUGGAAACAAGACAACCACCCCAUCCACCAAAGGGGAACUAUACAAAGAUGUUGGAGCUUGCACACAGGAGGAACAUUUUCUGUGUGCUUAUGUCAAGUGAAGACUAUUUGGAUGCCUUUGAGAAACUUUUAAGGUUUUCAGCAUAAUUUUGGUUUCUUAUUCUCACUGAUUUUCAGUGACAUUGGCCAUGUUGCCCAUUUUGGGAAGCUUAUUGACACAUUUAAUUGCAAAUUUAGGUUUUGAUCACAGUGUCAUGUAAUCCCAGAAUCAGUCUGAAACAUGGCACUUGUUAUUGACUUGCAGACCUACUUGUGAGAAGGAAUUGUAUAAAAUGACUGAAAAAGAAACAGAUUAAACAGAAACAGAUCUGCCUUAUUAGCAGGACACCGUUUCUUUUAGCAGCAAUUAUAUUGCAGAUCUUCUGAAAUGAUAACCUUGUGGGAUGAUGGCAAAUAUUUUAGUUAAGGUUAUCACACAAAGUUUUCUUUCAAUUUUUUGAAGUCCAGACUGAUUUCCUCCCGUGUAUUUCAAACAUGAUGCUCUGUGUUUGUAAUAUUUGUCAUAAACCAUUAUUUACCCACUUUUUCAGAAUGAUGAGUUUUGUAAAAAUGUACGUGUUUCAGAAGGCGGGCCAUAGAGGAACAACAAUAAUUUACAUUAUAUGGAAAAUAAUGUGUUUUUUGAACCUUAAACCGCAUAAACACAUUGCAUUACACCAAAUAAUGUUAUUUUUAGCAACGACAUAUGACCCCUUUAAUAUUACUCUGUCAUGUGCAAUAUGAUAAAAGAUCAGCUGUAGGAUUUUUAAUAUUCAAAUCAAUGAAUACUGAUAAUAGUCCGUUUACAUCUGAUUCUGCAGCAUAUGAUACUAAGUAGCUUGUAGCUGUUUACUAUAAGUUAAUUACAAUUAAACAUUCAUCCAUUUUGUAAAAGUAAACCCUAUCUGCUUUUCUUCUGUGCUUUAGAUGACAAGUUCAAAGACCUGACAAACCUUUCAGUAGGUCCUUCAGUAUCCUGGUCCAGCUGGUCACUCAUCUUUUACACAAGAAGUGUCUCUCUCUUUCCAUUCUUAAGGUAAUGUUUGGUGAAGUUCACCCCUCACCAAGAAGCCAUUCUAGAAUGCAUGAGGGGUUUGUAUAUGUAAUGUUGUAGUAUAUAUGUGUAAUAUUCUUCAUCCUCUUUAUGAAUCACUUACAAAUGACUUAAAGAAUGGCAGCUUAAUUUUAUGUCUUUUCAUAAGGCAAUUGAGUUUCUGAAGCAGAUUCUCUCAAAACUCCUUAAAGAAACUGAUCUUGUGAAUAUAUUUGGCAGGAUCUCUGGAAUUCCCAAGCUGGGAAUGCUUCGAGAAGGCUUGAAGCUUUUCGUCAGUCACUUUCUACUCCGGAACAUCCAGACACAAGAAACUGAGCAUGCCAAGGUACUCAGGGAUAGAGCUGAGGUCGCCACUAAAGCCAUGGAGGCCCAGGAUGCAAAAAUUAAGCUAUGGAGCUGUUGCACACAGAAAUGUGUGCAUAAUGCAUCAGACUCAAAGAAAAAAAAUAUAUAACACUGUGUUAUGCGUAAAUAUUUGGGCUUAUUGUAAUGUGUAUUAUAAUACACAUUAUAUUUAUUAUAAUAGAAAAUCACAAUGGUCUGCUUCAUAGUAAUUCUUAGUUUUUUUUUUUUUUUAAAUCCAGAGACAUUUCCCAAGCAGAUAAAGAAAAUAAUAUAAUUCAUUCUUCUGGUGCUCAUUAAUUUCCAAUGCACAUAUAUUCAGUAUCUGUUCUGGAAACAAUUUAGCCUCUGAGUUUUAGACUUGAAUAGCUUACCGCAUCUAAACAAAACUGUAUUAACUUCAUUCAGAAAAGAGCACAAACGUGCAUUGCUUUAUUCAUCAUGAAAUGUAGGUUCAUUGCAAUUGUCUGAAGCAUCUGCACAUGCAGCAGUACUCUGGACAUGACUGUCUAGCAUAACAUACCAGAGGGCUACCGUUACAGUACAUUUGAUGCCCUUAUUAAUUCAUUAGCAACAUAGGCAUUAAUGACAUCAAUCCACAGCAUGAAGUGAUCAGAGCAUGAUCUAUCAACAAAUGGGGUCAGACAGCUUAAAUGUCACUCUCACAGCUCUACAACAAAAGAUAAACUGUGUAUUUAUAUUUGAUUAAUUAAACCUUAUCACAUCCUGUGGUGUCAGCUCAAACAGGCCAUUACAUUACAGCCUGUAAUAAAUACACAACAGUCUGGCUGUUUUUUUUUCUCACAGUUUGAAAGCUGGAAAAAUUAGAGUUACCUACAGAUGGCCCACUUUUCCACCCUUUGACAAAGACAACAUUGUCACAACAUGUGAGGAGAAGCGUAUAAUGGGGGUCCAGCCCACUAAGAUACACACAGGUGAUUGUAAAUAGUGUGUGCUAUUGUCUGUCUGUGUGAGGCCAGAGGAAGGUUGAUACUGACCCUAGUUUGAACUGGAAAUAGGAAACUAAGUUGCCUUUGAACUGAUAAGACCACAGUUAAAAUACUGUUUGUGAGGAUAUUACAUGUUUUUGUGCAAAGGACUAAAUAUGAGAAAUGUGACAGUGUUCAUGCAUCAAAAAUUCAACAUUAUUGGCUUGUUCUUUUAUGUUUCACUUCAAAUGUUUCGUGUGUAGAAGGUUAUAUGAAACACUUGCACUGGCCCCUACUGACAAAUCACAUGGCGCAUAAUUCGAACAUAUCUAUAUCAUGUGGUUUAUUAUGCAUUUAUUACAUGUUUUGUCUCACCAUUCACGAUCUCAAGUAAGUGUCCCACCCCGCUCACUUGUGUGUGGUUUUCUUUCCCAAUCGUUAGAGGGUGGUAGUAGCACUGAUAAGGAUGGGUCUUUGUACUUACACAGCUGGGUAAACGUACAGGUAGAGUGAAUUAGACAUUAGUUAAAUCAGUAACUAAUGUUUCCUAAAUUGACUACUACCUGUUCAACGCCAGAUUAAUUGUGUAUUUGAAUAAAUCAUUGUUUACUGUUGUUUUGGAUAAUUGAAGCUUUUGUUUAUAUAGAUGUUCUUAUAACAUUAAUCAUAAUAUGUUAUAGCUACAUUAAACUGAACCCAUUUCAACAUAAAUAUUUUGUUAAUUUGACUCGAAAUUCCUGUUUCUGUAUAAAAUGCUGUCCUCUUGUUUGAAUACCCCACUAGCCUUUUAGAACCCAGGAAUAAUGCAGUCAAGUUAAGCCGUGAUUUUUAGUUUCUACAUGCAUCGCUUAGUCACAUUAUAGGGCUGGUAAACUCUGUUUUAGAGUUAUGAAAGGGGAGUUCAUUGUAGAGAGUCAAUUCACUAAAAUCCACAGCUUAUUAUACUAAAUGUGUUUUGGACUGAUUAUUUUCCACUGAGAAUAUGGCUUAAAGUGGCUUAGUAAAUGAAAAACAGAACAUUUCAGAUCACAUUCAGUGUACGAGUAGAUAGCUGUCAUGGCCCUGGACUGAUAGGACUGGAUAGUGAUUAUAUUUAAAUGUCCUCUAAUUGAUUCGAAGAAGCUCCUUGGCAAAGACCAGAUGGAUCUCUGGGUUUAUUACCCAAUAAAAGCUUGUCGUUAUUAAUAAAGAAGGAAAUGCACUUAUG